rnacentral:rRNA from 1 species
CAGUAGCCGCGGUAAUACGAAGGGUGCAAGCGUUACUCGGAAUUACUGGGCGUAAAGCGUGCGUAGGCGGUUUGUUAAGUCUGUUGUGAAAUCCCCGGGCUCAACCUGGGAAUGGCAAUGGAUACUGGCAGGCUAGAGUGUGAUAGAGGAUGGUGGAAUUCCCGGUGUAGCGGUGAAAUGCGUAGAGAUCGGGAGGAACAUCAGUGGCGAAGGCGGCCAUCUGGAUCAACACUGACGCUGAGGCACGAAAGCGUGGGGAGCAAACAGGAUUAGAUACCCGCGUAGUCCCUGUCUCUUAUAC